UUAAUUUAUCACCUAAUUUCAAGAAAAAAUACUCAAUUUAAAAACAUAAUGUCCAAAAAGAAACAGCAUAAUAACCAAGGAACAAAGGACCAACAAGAAGCCAAGAAAUUUCAUAAAUCCCCUACUAUUCUACUUGAACCUCUGCCAAAAUCUCAACAACUAAGCAGACUUUCAGCCCUUCAAUCUCAAAAUCGUAAAACAAAGAGCAGCAAAGGAAGCACAACUGAUCAGGUAAAUCCAUCUCCCCUUUCAGCUUUGAGUUUGCAUACAACAUAGGAUUAUUAGUAUAACUGCAAUACACUAUCUUGCUUAUCAACACCCUCAGCAACUAAUUAAAGAUGGGGACUUAGCUAGGGCUAACUCAUGCUGUUCCAGGAGAGCAUAAGCAAAGAUUGCCCGGAAAUCAGCGGUGGCGGCGGCGGCGCAAUAGCUCUCAUUCCGCCGAUUCCUAGCAACAGAGGGAGAGAUAUGAUCGAGUUUUGGGGAAGGGUUUAAGUCAUGUGAUUGUUGGGCCAAAAAGCGAGUGGGCGUCACGCAUGCAUCGGGGGCGCGCCACAUCGGAGCAGCAAAGGAAGCACAACUGAUCAGGUAAAUCCAUCUCCCCUUUCAGCUUUGAGUUUGCAUACAACAUAGGAUUAUUAGUAUAACUGCAAUACACUAUCUUGCUUAUCAACACCCUCAGCAACUAAUUAAAGAUGGGGACUUAGCUAGGGCUAACUCAUGCUGUUCCAGGAGAGCAUAAGCAAAGAUUGCCCGGAAAUCAGCGGUGGCGGCGGCGGCGCAAUAGCUCUCAUUCCGCCGAUUCCUAGCAACAGAGGGAGAGAUAUGAUCGAGUUUUGGGGAAGGGUUUAAGUCAUGUGAUUGUUGGGCCAAAAAGGUAAAUAAAUGGCUGGGCUGAAAAUUUCCAAGAUGGGCCAAUGGAGAAGAUAUCAGCUGCUCUAUAAUUAAUUGCUGUAUUGAUUAAGUAUUGUCAUUUAAUUUUCCAAAUAUUUAACUCAUACAACUUAGUGCUUCCGAACAUAAUUAUUAAAUCCAUUGAUUUAAUUGAUAUACCAACAUUUAGUUUUUUCCUUUGAUGCAUGCAUUUUAUUUAACUUAAAUGAUAUUUUAAAGUUAGUGGUGGUCAGAUCGGCCCAAAUUCUGCCCCAAACACCAU